rnacentral:rRNA from 1 species
UGCGCAGGCGGGCUAAUAAGUCAGUGGUGAAAUCUUCCGGCUCAACCGGGAACCUGCCAUUGAUACUGUUAGUCUUGAGUUCGGUUGAGGUAGGCGGAAUGUGUAAUGUAGCGGUGAAAUGCUUAGAUAUUACACAGAACACCAAUUGCGUAGGCAGCUUACUAGACCGACACUGACGCUGAGGCACGAAAGCGUGGGGAGCGAACAGGAUUAGAUACCCUGGUAGUC